AUGUACCAACACGCUGGUGUUUAUGUAUUAAAUUAACUGUUAACUGUGAGUAUAACCAGAUACACUCGUACCAGCAUCAUGCAACCAACAUAUCAGUGGUAUGUCUAAAAUCUCUGGUCUCGUAGUUCCUCCACCUCUGUUCGGACGCUUCGGGCUGAUAACAAGGUGAGCAGCUGUGAUGACCCAGCUAGCAUCCACUAACACUCCUCCACACAGACUCUCUCCUUUAUAAUCCAGCAGGACCUGGGAAAACAGCGUGAGAAGAUCUGAGCAUCAAAAGUCUUAAUUCAGUGAAGAGUUUCUCAGUCUCACCUUGUGCAACACAGGACUUCCCAUCCUCUCCGAGGGAAUAACCCGGAGCACAUGAACACUUUCGCCUGCGACCCGAACCAUCACAGAACUGCUCACAACCACCGUUCAGAUACAAGCACUUCAGAGUGUCCUCGAACACUACACAGAGAGAACACAGAGAGAACACAGAGAUCACACAGAGAGAACAGAGAGAACACAGAGAGAACACAGAGAGAGCACAGGGAGAGCACAGAGAGGGGUUUAUUUUAAACUUUACAUUAACAAACAUGAAUAAAAGAGUAAAAGAAAUGAAUAAA